rnacentral:rRNA from 1 species
UAGGGAAUCUUCGGCAAUGGACGGAAGUCUGACCGAGCAACGCCGCGUGAGUGAAGAAGGUUUUCGGAUCGUAAAGCUCUGUUGUAAGAGAAGAACGAGUGUGAGAGUGGAAAGUUCACACUGUGACGGUAUCUCACCAGAAAGGGACGGCUAACUACGUGCCAGCAGCCGCGGUAAUACGUAGGUCCCGAGCGUUGUCCGGAUUUAUUGGGCGUAAAGCGAGCGCAGGCGGUUAGAUAAGUCUGAAGUUAAAGGCUGUGGCUUAACCAUAGUACGCUUUGGAAACUGUUUAACUUGAGUGCAAGAGGGGAGAGUGGAAUUCCAUGUGUAGCGGUGAAAUGCGUAGAUAUAUGGAGGAACACCGGUGGCGAAAGCGGCUCUCUGGCUUGUAACUGACGCUGAGGCUCGAAAGCGUGGGGAGCAAACAGGAUUAGAUACCCUGGUAGUCCACGCCGUAAACGAUGAGUGCUAGGUGUUAGACCCUUUCCGGGGUUUAGUGCCGCAGCUAACGCAUUAAGCACUCCGCCUGGGGAGUACGACCGCAAGGUUG